rnacentral:rRNA from 1 species
CCCUUAGAUGUUCUGGGCCGCACGCGCGCUACACUGAUUCAUGCAACAAGUUUUGUCCUUGGCUGAUAGGCCUGGGUAAUCUUUGAACGUGAAUCGUGAUGGGGAUAGAUGAUUGCAAUUAUUCAUCUUCAACGAGGAAUUCCUAGUAAACGCAAGUCAUCAGCUUGCAUUGAUUACGUCCCUGCCCUUUGUACACACCGCCCGUCGCACCUACCGAUUGAAUGGUCCGGUGAAAUCUUCGGAUCUCAGAGAUGUCUGAUUAAUUUCGGACGCCUUUUGGAAAAGUUGCUUAAACCUUACCAUUUAGAGGAAGGUGAAGUCGUAACA